UACGAAGGGGGCUAGCGUUGUUCGGAAUUACUGGGCGUAAAGCGCGCGCAGGCGGCUAUCCAAGUCAGUGGUGAAAGCCCGGAGCUCAACUCCGGAACUGCCAUUGAAACUGUUUAGCUUGAGGACGAGAGAGGUGAGUGGAAUUCCCAGUGUAGAGGUGAAAUUCGUAGAUAUUGGGAAGAACACCGGUGGCGAAGGCGGCUCACCGGCUCGUUUCUGACGCUCAGGCGCGAUAGCGUGGGGAUCAAACAGG
rnacentral:rRNA from 1 species